AUUUAUUGGUAUUGCCCUCCGGCAGGAGCCUCGCUCCAGACAGCCCGCCAGAGGACCCCAAACCCUAGAUUACAUUUAAGAAGUCUUCUGAGUAAACCGAUUAAAUAAAUCAAAACUUUCAACAACGGAUCUCUUGGUUCUGGCAUCGAUGAAGAACGCAGCGAAAUGCGAUAAGUAAUGUGAAUUGCAGAAUUCAGUGAAUCAUCGAAUCUUUGAACGCACAUUGCGCCCGCUAGUAUUCUGGCGGGCAUGCCUGUCCGAGCGUCAUUUCAACCCUCAAGCCCCCGGGCUUGGUGUUGGGGAUCGGCGAGCCUCCGCGCCCGCCGUCCCCUAAAUCUAGUGGCGGUCUCGCUGUAGCUUCCUCUGCGUAGUAGCACACCUCGCACUGGGAAACAGCGCGGCCACGCCGUUAAACCCCCAACUUCUGAACGUUUGACCUCGGAUCAGGUAGGAAUACCCGCUGAACUUAAGCAUAUCAAUAAGCGGAGGAACGCUG
rnacentral:rRNA from 1 species